rnacentral:lncRNA from 1 species
UAAGAAUCAAAAUGAUCAAAAUGUUUCAUUAAAGAGGUAAAUAUACACUUAUACCCCUAGGGUUAACUAAUCCGAACCUUAGGGUUUAGAGUUAAAGGGUGGAGAUUUGGGUUUGAGGUUUAAAAUUUUAUAAAAUAGAAAAUAAAUAUUAAAAAUUCGAAAAUAAAAAUUUUAAAAAUAGUUUCAAAAAGUAAUUUCGAAUUACAAAAAGAAAAUUUGAAAAAAAAAAUUCGAAAAAAAAAGUUCAAAAAAUCAAAAUUUAUAAAAAAGUUCGAAUUUGAAAACAUAUAAUCUAAAACUAUAAAAAAAAAUUUAUUUUUUUAUAUAUCUAGGGUAUUAGUGUCCUUUUACCUAUUAAAUGAAACAUUUUGGUCAUUUUCCUCCUUGUAGUCUAUUUUUGUGAUCAAAACUUGAAAAUGGUCUAUUUAUGAGAAUUGUCCUAUUUUAAAGGAAAAAAUAUCAAAAGAUAUUACGAUUAAAGUAGUUUAAAGAUUCUAUAUAUUAUUAAUCUUAUUAAAACACCUUUAAUAAUUUCUCUUAUGGAUGGUCCAACUUAAAAAUCACACGUGAAAUGAGGUUGUAACUUCUAUUUUAAUACAACAGAUUUUUGGAAAUUCGUCAAUAAGUGCGUUAGCAUUUGAUGCACAUGAGUUACACCAAACCUUGAUCAUCCGAGCACAAACAAAUCUCUCUUGAUUUUCUUAUUCUCCCAAGUCUACUUUUUCCAUAAGGCAUGUUCUCCUUUAUAACAAACUUAAAAUUGCAUCACAAGUUUUUCCAAGACAACUUUUUUGAAGUCAUAUAUUUCCUUUCUUUUUUCUUCAAAUUAAUUUCUAUUCAGUUAAAGUAAAAUUAUAUUUGUUUUCAAACUAAUAUAUCCUUCUAUUUAUAAAUAACAAAUCCACAUAUAGCACAAUACAUAUAUUUUAACAUAUAUCAUCUUCACAACACAUGUAUUUACUAUCUUAGCAC